rnacentral:tRNA from 1 species
GCACUAGUUGUCUAGUGGUAGAAUAAUACCUUGCCAUGGUACAGAGUCGGGUUCGAUUCCCGAUUGGUGUG